GACUCGGUAGCUUAGUUGCUAAAGCACUCGUCUAGCAUACAAGAGUUGUAGGUUCGAAUCUCAUCUGAGCA
rnacentral:tRNA from 1 species